GAUGAAGAACGUAGCAAAAUGCGAUAAGUAAUGUGAAUUGCAGAAUUCAGUGAAUCAUCGAAUCUUUGAACGCACAUUGCGCCCGCCAGUAUUCUGGCGGGCAUGCCUGUUCGAGCGUCAUUUCAACCCUCAAGCACAGCUUGGUGUUGGGACUCGCGUUAAUUCGCGUUCCUCAAAUUGAUUGGCGGUCACGUCGAGCUUCCAUAGCGUAGUAGUAAAACCCUCGUUACUGGUAAUCGUCGCGGCCACGCAGUUAAACCCCAACUUCUGAAUGUUGACCUCGGAUCAGGUAGGAAUACCCGCUGAACUUAAGCAUAUCAAUAAGCGGAGGA
rnacentral:misc_RNA from 1 species